AUAGCACAGUGUAGAUACUAUUCUGUACGCUUUCCGGAAGUCGCGAUUUUCGAAGCGAGAACUUUUUGGAUCACAUUUUAAAUUUGUCGGAUAUACUAUAUUAAACGGUAAGAUGUUCAUCUGUACAUUGCUUAAUGAUUAAUUCAGCUGACAUCGAUAUUCACAAAUGGUUUAUAAUUAAAUUUAGCACAUUCAUUAUUCGUAUCUUUGCCUUAAUUAAGAGAUUUUCAAGUGCAUCACUAAGGAAAAUCAGUCGGUGAACCUAAAAACAAUCUUUUUGCACUCUUACUGUACAAAUUAACGUAAAAUCCAGACUUAAUUUACUAAAUAAAGUAUAUUUUAAGUGGUGGUAAAAGUUUCAGCCAGAUCUUUGAAGCCAGAAAUAAGAAAAUUACACUUGUUUGAAUUUCUCACUGUACGAUCAGUCUCGCUUGUAUAUUUUGAAACUGUAUGAUCAGUCUUUAUUUCACUGUAUUCUAGUAGUGAUUUCAAAGUUAUUUACGAUACAUUAGAAGAUGGCAUUUUUCUAAAUAACACAAAUAUAUUUUAAUAAAUUCACAUCCUGUAAACUUUUCAAACAUGUUUUAGCUUGAUAGGGUGUACUCGACUUACUACAUUAAGUAUAAGGAUGUUUGAAUGUGGCUGAAAUAAGAAGAAGGUUUGUUUGUUUAUAGAAGUUUCAGAAAUGUCCUCCGUUAUACUUAAAAUUGUACAAACACACAGAUUUAAUUGUUACUAUAUAAAAAUGCAUGAAUUUACAAACAUUCGAGGCCGUACUGUAGCCUAUAAUUGAUCACAGUUCCUUCACUUUGUUUUGGAUGUAGAUCUGUCUCUUUCACACUCAAUUGUACACCACUUUGUGAAGCGAUGGUUUAUAGUGAUAAUGAAGUCCGUCUUUCCGUUCGUCCGUUGGACCGGUACAACAUGUUUCGCCGGUUUUGCAAGCGCAUCUCCACAUACACCACUUAAUAUACAUUGGUGUUUCCAGACAUUUUUAAAUGGAGAGGGGGUCCAAUCCAGGAGAAAAGAGGAUUCCAAAUAUAUGUUCCCAUACAAAUGCAUUGAAAGUUAAAAAAAAGAGUUUCAAACCGCCGGAUCCCAAUUUUCUUGAAUCCGUCACUGGUAUAACUAUUAAUUAUUUUUUUCUCGGAUUCCGUAUCAUAAAUAUAUAAAUAUAAAAAAGAAGAUGCGGUAUGAUUUGCCAAUGAGACAACCGUUCACAAGAGAUCAAAAUGACACAGAUAUUAACAAAUGUAGGUCACCGUAUGGCCUUCAACAAUAAGCAAAGCCAAUACCACAGAGUCGGCUAUAAAAAGCCCCGAAAUGACAAUGUAAAACAAUUCAAACGAGAAAAUUAACGGCCUUAUUUAUAUAAAAAAAGGAAUGUAUUUCUGAUUUUAUUAAGAAUAUUUUAUGGGGUCUCUUUAUAUAAGAUACGGAC
rnacentral:lncRNA from 1 species